UGAGGAAUAUUGCACAAUGGACGCAAGUCUGAUGCAGCAACGCCGCGUGGAGGAUGACGGCCCUUGGGUUGUAAACUCCUUUUUUCGGGGAAGAGAAUGGACGGUACCCGAAGAAUAAGUCACGGCUAACUACGUGCCAGCAGCCGCGGUAAUACGUAGGUGGCAAGCGUUAUCCGGAAUUACUGGGCGUAAAGCGCACGCAGGCGGUCUUGUAAGUUUGACGUGAAAGCGCCCGGCUUAACUGGGAGAGGUCGUUGAAUACUGCGAGACUUGAGUUUAGGAGAGGGGUGUAGAAUUCCCGGUGUAGUGGUGGAAUGCGUAGAUAUCGGGGGGAAUACCAGUGGCGAAAGCGGCACCCUAGCCUUUGACUGACGCUCAUGUGCGAAAGCGUGGGGAGCGAACG
rnacentral:rRNA from 1 species